GAAAUCUUGAAAACUUUCUAUAUAUUUAACAAAAACAAGUUAUUAUCAAAUUGUGUAAAAUAAUAUUUCAAGAUCCACAUCCCUUAAGUAUUUCAACACAACUAAUGGGAACCAAGAAUUUUUCAUGUCUUGUAUUGUUGAUGGUGUGUGCCCUCAUACUCCUACCCAUUAUUUCAGGAGGAGGGAGAGAAUGUUAUCUUCAACCAGGAUGUAAAAACUCAAUGACAUGCAAUGAUUUUUGCUAUUAUAAAGGAUACAAAUUAGGAGAGUUUUGUGAACGCUAUGGUGGCUCAAAUAAGUCUGGCCAUUGUUGCUGCUAUUAUUAGCUUUGAAUCUCAAGACUCUUCCAAAUUGCAUGAUAAUAAUGUACUCAUUAUAUUAACUAAUCCAUUAUUUUAUGUGUAUUCCUUAUAUCAGAAUAA